rnacentral:lncRNA from 1 species
GAUGCAGGAGUGAUAACGAUCGGCUGCUUCUUUGACUGCACGAGCAGUACAAAUCCUUCAAGGAUGGCACAAGGCUCAGAAUGCAUCAAUACCAACCUUCAUGCAGCUCGAAAAAUGAACCCCAAUGCAAAAUAUAUGUGUUCACUGGGUAUCUGCAGUAAUAGUGGUGAAUGUGUGCCCUCGGGGCUCUUCAUUCAGUGCUGGAAAGCGGCCCAUUUGCCAUUAACUGAUUAGUAAUGACGCUAAGCCCGAUGGUGUAUAAUACCUUACACCUACACAUUAACCUGAAUAAACUUGUUAAUUUUAAAAUUU